CGCCUUAUACUCCUACGGUAGGCAGCAGUGGGGAAUUCUGGACAAUGGGGGCAACACUGAUCCAGCAACGCCGCGUGAGUGAAGAAGGCCUUCGGGUUGUAAAGCUCUUUUGUCAGGUAAGAAACGGUAGUAGCUAAUAUCUAUUACUAAUGACGGUACCUGAAGUAUAAGCACCGGCUAACUACGUGCCAGCAGCCGCGGUAAUACGUAGGGUGCAAGCGUUAAUCGGAAUUACUGGGCGUAGAGCGUGCGCAGGCGGUUGUGUAAGUCAGAUGUGAAAUCCCCGGGCUCAACCUGGGAAUUGCAUUUGAGACUGCACGGCUAGAGUGUGUCCGAGGUGGGUAGAAUUCCUCGUGUAGCAGUGAAAUGCGUAGAUAUGUGGAGGAAUACAGAUGGCGUAGGCAGCCCCCUGGGAUAACACUGACGCUCAUGCACGAAAGCGUGGGGAGCAAACAGGAUUAUAUACCCGAGUAGUCCACGUACCA
rnacentral:rRNA from 1 species